rnacentral:rRNA from 1 species
UACGAAGGGGGCUAGCGUUGCUCGGAAUCACUGGGCGUAAAGGGUGCGUAGGCGGGUUUUUAAGUCAGGGGUGAAAUCCUGGAGCUCAACUCCAGAACUGCCUUUGAUACUGAGAAUCUUGAGUACGGGAGAGGUGAGUGGAACUGCGAGUGUAGAGGUGAAAUUCGUAGAUAUUCGCAAGAACACCAGUGGCGAAGGCGGCUCACUGGCCCGUUACUGACGCUGAUGGACGAAAGCUAGGGGAGCGAAAGGG